rnacentral:lncRNA from 1 species
GCUUGGAAACUUCCUGUGAUGCUAGAGAAGAUGGAUCUCAGUGUUAUGGAGCUCUGGGAGGAACUGUCUAUCUCCAGCUGACUGAUACCAUGGCAUAUAAUCACUACUCAUUUUAUAAAGGCUCAACUGGUGCUAAAACAGAGAURCUGAAAAYRAAGGYCACACUGGUAAYAAGAGACACCCCMAUUARAGACMGAGUACACUUCUUUAUAAACAAUGGGACAUUUAGGUUAAAUAACACACAAAGGAAUGAUUCUGGUGAAUACCUGCUCACAAAAUAUGAUUCAGAAGGGAAAACAUCAGGGACCAUAGGACUACAACUGUUAAUCGAAGAUAAAUAACUAACUUGCCAAAUAAUUAUUACAAAUGAUAACUUUGACAAGCUAUUGCUCUGGCUAAACUACAAAUAUGUGACUACCUAAUAAUACAAAUAAUGAGAAAUGCAUUUUAUGUGUAACCAUGGAGUCAUUUUUAUUUUCAUAGUCUACUGUAGUUGGUACAUAGUCAUAACCACAUCCAUCAACAUUAAAUCAUCUGUUGUUUAUUUGAAAUACAGUCAUUAUGUGUCAUGAAUCUGCUGCUCCUGUUGACUACAGUAGUUUCUGUGGCUUUAAAGAAGAAUGGCUGGUGUUGUGUUGUAAUGUGUUUUUCCCUCUUACUACAGUUACAUAUCCUUCUUCCCCCACAGCUCCAGUGUCCAGUCCUCAGCUGUCCUCUGAGUGUCUGUCUCAUGGAGAGAUGAGGGUGUCCUGCUCCUCUGAGGGGGAUGGUUCCCAGUACAGCUGGACUCUGGAUCGACAGACGCUGAGACACACUAAGGCCUCUUCUGAUAACGAGACAAACACCAUCACUCUGAAGAAAGGCCUGUCAGGAAAUCUCACCUGUACCGUCAGAAACUACAUCAGCAGUGAUUCUAUCAGCAAGAGAAUCUCACCUUGUCCAGGAGUCAGUGUGUUUGUUUAUUUCCAACUCGCUGAAGUCUUCAUUCUUCUGACAGUCUGUCUGGGAUCAUACUGUUUCUACAAGAAGGAAACCUAUCAUCGUAAAGAAGGUCAGUAAUGCACCAUUGUACCUUUAUUGAAGGUAUUUUGUUUAAUACGUUUCUCAUUUUAUUCUGCUUAAUUUUCUCUCUCUCUGAUGUUGAGUAAGCACAGAGUGUAUGCAGUCUCAGGUGGAUCAUGGUGGGACUCAGAUGAGGGUGUUAAUGUCCUGAGAGGUGCUAUGGAGACCAACUAGGCUGUGAGAUUACAUGAUGAUGAUUUAAUAUUGCCAAUCAUUGAAAAUAUUUGUUUUUGCUCUUUAAUAAAAGGUUUAAUUAGGCUUUUAUUAUCAUUUAGAAUUUAUACUGAGCUUAUAGUACAGUGUAUUGCAUUGCAGUGUUUUGUUUUAUGUUGCUUGUGACAUACAGUAACCUAAAUGUAUGAUAUUGGGAAGACUUGUUAAAUGGUGAAAGGUAACAAAACGCUUUCCUUCUUCACUUUAUUAUGCUUUAAUAUAGUGUAUUUGUGUGAUUUUGAAUUCAUAGAAAUACAAGCAAGCAACUUUUAAAACAUUCUGGACCUCAUUUUAAUAACUUGCCAAAUAAUUAUUACAAAUGGUAACUUUGACAAGCUCUACAUAUUGCUCUGGCUGACCUACAAAUAUGUGACUGCUUAAUAAUCAAAAUAAUGAGAAAUGCAUUUUGUGUGUAGUCAUUCAACAGGAGUCAUUUUUAUUUUCAUAGUCUACUGUAGUUGGUACAUAGAUUUAUAACCAAAUCCAUCAACAUUAAAUCAUCUGUUGGGUUAUUUGAAAAACAGUCAUUGUGUGUCAUUUUCAUUAUCUACUACUUUUUUUUAAAAGCACAACAAACGAAGUGACAAUGUGCAGGGUUUUCUGACUUUUCUAUGGGUCCACUGAAAGAAAUGUUAUCACGCAGACUGUAGCACUUCCCUUCAUGAAGAGCCAAUGUUGAGGUGUAGUCAGUCAAACAUCACAAUGUCAUAGACCACAUCUCACGUCACCAGAUCUGUCUCCUACUUCCUAGAAUGAUGGGCGAUGAGUUAGUCACCUGGAAUGCAUUUCAAUUAACAGGAGUCCCUUGUUAAAAUUUCAUUUGUGGAUUCUUUGCCCUUCUUAAUGCGUUUGAGCCAAUCAGUUGUGAUGUGACAAGGUAAGGGUGAUAUACAGAAGAAAGCCCUAUUUGGUAAAAGACCAAGUCCAUAUUAUGGCAAGAACAGCUCAAAUAAGCAAAGAGAAACGACAGUCCAUCAUUACUUUUAGACAUAAAGGUCAGUCAAUGCGGUAAAUUUCAAGAACUUUGAAAGUGAAGUUGCAAAAACCAUCAAGCUCUAUGAUGAAACAAGUUCUCAUGAGGACCACCACAGGAAGAAAGGAAGACCCAGAGUUACCUCUGCUGCAGAGGAUACGUUCAUUAGAGUUACCAGUCUCAGAAAAUGCAUCCCAAAUAAAUGUUUCACAGAGUUCAAGUAACAGAAACAUCUCAACAUCAACUGUUCAGAGGAGACUGCGUGAAUCAGGCCUUCAUGGUUGAAUUGCUGCAAAGACACCAUUAUAAAAGUACACCAAUAAGAAGAAGAGACUUGCUUUGAACAAGAAACACUAGAGCAGUGGAAAUCUGCCCUUUGGUCUGAUGAGUCAAAAUGUUGGAUUUUUGGUUCCAACCGCCGUGUCUUUGUGAGACGCAAAGUAGGUGAACGGAUGAUCUCCGCACGUGUUGUUCCCACCGUGAAGGUUGGAGGAGGAGGUGUGAUGGUGCUUUGCUGGUGACACAGUCUGUGAUUUAUUUUGAAUUCAAGGCACACUUAACCAGCAUGGCUUCCACAGCAUUCUGCAGCAAUAUGCCAUCCCAUCUGGUUUGUGCUUAGUGGGAUCAUUUGAUUUUCAACAGGACAAUGACCCAACACAACUUCAGAUUGUGUAAGGGCUAUUUGACCAAGAAGGAGAGUGAUGGGGUGCUGCAUCAGAUGACCUGGCUUCCACAAUCACUCGACCUUAACCCAUUUGAGAUGUUUUGGGAUGAGUUGGAUCGCAGAGUGAAGGAAAAGCAACCAACACGUUCUAAGCAUAUGUUGGAAUUCCUUCAAGACUGUUGGAAAAGCAUUCCAGGUGAAGCUGGUUGAGAGGAUGCCAAGAGUGUGCAACGCUGUCAUCAAGGCAAAGUGUAGCUACUAUGAAGAAUAUAUAUAUUUUGAUUAGUUUAACCAUUUUUUCGUUACUACAUUAUUCCAGAUGAGUUAUUUCAUAGUUUUGAUGUCUUCACUAUUAUUCUACAAUGUAGAAAACAGUAAAGAUUAAGAAAAACCCUUGAAUGAGUGGGUGUGUCCAAACAUUUGACUGGCACUGUAUGUAGAGUUCAAAAGGUACUUGCACUCAAAACCAUGAAAAGGAAUAACCAAAUAAUGCACUUAAUUUAAUCAAUGCUCCAAAGAAUACAAAAAGGUGCUAGAAAACAAAAACGGAUUAUACAUUUUGACCUCAUGCCUUCAUCAGUGCUGUACAAACAAAUUAUGAAGACAGUUUAUGUGCGUAACAGGCACAACAGGUGCAAGCAGAUAGUUGAUUAGAUACUGGCGAAUAGGGCGUCAGUGCAUAUUAGCAAGGAAUAUGUAGAAGAAUAUAAAAAAUGGACAAUCAAAUGUCAGAUAUAAUUGGAAAGAGACAACAGUCUGGUCUAUAUAAUAAUAUCAGAAGCAAAAGACAUGAAAUAAUAAAGUAAGCUAAAAAAACGGAGAGUGCGGGAGGGAGGAACAUUAACUUGAAGGGUAGUCCCUCGAGACAAGGCUAUUCUAGUGUUAUUGUUAAACAUUUGAAAGGAGUAUAUAGUACAGUAUAUUGAAGUGUUUUAUUUUAUGUUGCUUGUGAGAUACAGAAAUGAGUUUGGGAUGGCUUUAAUCAGGGAAACUGUAGCAUAGACACUUCCCUUCUUACUGUAACUUCCAAAGGUAUUUGUGAUUUUGAAUGCAUAGAAAAUAAUAAAAGCAAGUAACUUUUUGAAACAUUCUGGACCUAAUUUCUCAUUAUCUACUACUUUUGAAACAUUCUGGACCUCAUUUCUCAUUAUCUACUACUUUUGAAACAUUCUGGACCUAAUUUCUCAUUAUCUACUACUUUUGAAACAUUCUGGACCUCAUUUCUCAUUAUCUACUACUUUUGAAACAUUCUGGACCAAAUUUCUCAUUAUCUACUACUUUUGAAA